rnacentral:misc_RNA from 1 species
AGCCGGCGCGUCAGCUCCGGCACCGACCCGGACGGGCGUGCCUUCGCGUGACGCAAACCGGAAAUCGCUGCUCAUACAAUCGGAGAGGCAUUCCACGUGCACAAGACCACGCUCCGGACACUCUGUUCGGCAUCGUGCUGUCAAACUGACUGCACGAAGGAACACGAUCUGCGUGCCGCGGUGACGGCACGACGAGACGGCGUAUAAAGAGCAAUGGUUCAUACAAGGGACCUCCCGAAGUCUGCGGGGCAAAGUCCCGCAGAGCUAUAGCACUAGGCACGGCAUCCGUGAGAGCCAGCAAAAAUCCAAGUGAUAGCAACGCGGCAUUCGACCGCGCGACAAACACAAGGAUUUCGCCAACAUUUCGGCUGCCCAAACGACACAAAAAUGUCAGAAGGGCAAGCAAAUAUCCAUCCAGGGACGACUUCGCUACCCACAAGGGGGUAGAACCGCACAGGCAACCGAUCGGAAGCAUCCCAACCACGACGUGUUCAAUGACGGGAGGGAGAGUGAAGAGACAGCCCCAUGUUCGGUUGGCCGCACCAAAAGUGC